rnacentral:rRNA from 1 species
GGCUCAGAUUGAACGCUGGCGGCAUGCCUUACACAUGCAAGUCGAACGGCAGCACGGGUGCUUGCACCUGGUGGCGAGUGGCGAACGGGUGAGUAAUAUAUCGGAACGUACCUUAUCGUGGGGGAUAACGCAGCGAAAGCUGCGCUAAUACCGCAUACGCCCUGAGGGGGGAAAAGCGGGGGGACCGUAAGGCCUCGCGCUCACGGAGCGGCCGAUGGCAGAUUAGGUAGUUGGUGGGAUAAAAGCUUACCAAGCCGACGAUCUGUAGCUGGUCUGAGAGGACGACCAGCCACACUGGGACUGAGACACGGCCCAGACUCCUACGGGAGGCAGCAGUGGGGAAUUUUGGACAAUGGGCGCAAGCCUGAUCCAGCCAUGCCGCGUGCAGGAUGAAUGCCUUCGGGUUGUAAACUGCUUUUGUACGGAACGAAAAGACUCUGGUUAAUACCUGGGGUCCAUGACGGUACCGUAAGAAUAAGCACCGGCUAACUACGUG